GCUAACUCCGUACGAGCAGGCGCGGUAAUACGGAGGGUGGAAGCGUUAAUCGUGAUUACUGGGCGUAACGCGUGGGCAGGCGGCUGAUUAAGUCAGAUGUGAAAUCCGUAGGCUCAACCUAGGAACCGCAUUUGAUACUAAUAAACUAGAGUAUCGUAGAGGGAGGUAGAAUUCCAGGUGUAGCGGUGAAAUGCGUAGAUAUCUGGAGGAAUACCAGUGGCGAAGGCGACCUCCUGGACGAAAACUGACGCUCAAGCACGAAAGCAUGGGGAGCAAACAGGAUUAGAUACCCUGGUAGUC
rnacentral:rRNA from 1 species